AUGGCAAAGCCCAUUUAGCACCAUCUCUCAGAUCAGUUUUCUGUGGGCAUCGGGUAGGUGGACUCUUCCCUCACUCAGCAUCUCACCAGGCUGAGAUCUUGGUGUCAGCUGGCUGAGUUCUCACCAGGAACUUGGCGUCUGUUCCAGGCUCAUCCCGGUUAUUAGCAACCCCUUCCCUUUACAGGGCUCAAAUUCCUGUUUCCUGACUGGCUGUCAGGGGACAUGCUCAGUCUCUCACAUUCACCCUCCCAGGCCCACUCACAGACUCUUCCUCACACACACCUUAGCUUACAGUCUCUCUCUCUCUUCCUACCCACCUACCGCCUCUCUCCACCCUCUCCCUACCUCCUUCCCAGGAAGGGCACAAGCUCUUUUAAGGGCUGGCCUGGUUCUCACUAAAGACAAUCUCCCCUGCUUAAAGUCAUCCACUUGGAACUUUUAUUACCGACACAAUAGUUCGCUCAAAGAAAUAAAUUAGUUUUAAGACAGAGAGAGAGAGAGACAGAGACAGAGAGACAGAGAGACAGAGACAGAGAGACAGAGACAGAGAGAGACAGAGAGAGACAGAGAGAGACAGAGAGACAGAGACAGAGAGACAGAGACAGAGAGACAGAGACAGAGAGAGAGACAGAGAGAGAGACAGAGAGAGAGACAGAGAGAGAGAGUCUACAUUCAUUCAGCUGUCUGGGGUUCUACCUUAAACUUUUGCCUACAGAGUCAAAGCUUCAAGAUUUUCAGAGGGCACUCAUUCUUCCUACUGAAUGAAACCCAUGUUUCUUGGCAUUUAAGACUCCACAGUCUACCCAUCUGUGCAGACUUAGCUGCACUCGCUCUGUGCCCCACACUGUAUUCAGGCAUUACGGCUGUAGCACGCUAUUCAUCCGUCUGCACCUUUGUACACUGCAGAGGUUCUUCCUUCUGCUCUUUAGCUAAUUCCUGUGCACGAACCUGAGAAGACUCUUUGAGAGACAGACAGGGUAGGUUUGUUUCUCCUCUAGGUAUGCUUCUCUGGAUUCACAACAUUUAUUGAACACCUACUAUGUUCCAGGCACCAGAAUAGUCUCCCGCCAUCUUUCUAUCUGCCUUGCUCUCUCCUCUCUUAAUCUGCCUCCUUCUAUCCUCCCUCACCCUUCCUCUCUUCCUCUCUCUCUGUCCUUCUCUGAGCUCUUCUUCCACUGGGGAGGCAGGAAACCACAAACUGAGCACUGUCAGAUAACAGUGGGAAGAUCUGUCAGAUUAUCUCAGGGUCAUGAUAAAGGGGUAAACAGUGUGGGUGACACCAGUGUCACUCUGUAUGCCUUCAACCUGUAAUACGUUCUGGGAUAGGCAGCUGAACAGAGACAUGAGGGAGGGGUGGGAGGAAACGCUACAGAAAAGGUCAUGACUGUCUCUGUUCCCUUUGUCCCCAUUAUGGCCAGAUAGAUGGAUGAAUGAACAGUCACAACAAAGCUCGACAGGCAAAACCACCGGGAAGUACAAAGGCCCUGUGCUAGGGACUCCCUCUGUGCUCAGUUAAUAUCCGCCUCGCCUUAAAGAAGCCUUUGGAAUUUUUUUCUAGGAAGAAUGCUAGUCUUGGAAAUUGAGGAGGAAGAAAAAUGUCAGUAUCAGUUGAGUUCCUGGGUAGGUUCACCACCAAACAAAGCAGGGUACCAAGUACCAGAAAAACAGGCUGGUUUCACAUCAGGGUGCUAAGACUUGGGUAGCCCCUAAGCCCUAAGCAAGGACUUCGAGGCAUAACCAUAGGGCUAACCUUCACACACCAAUGAGUAGAGUCUUAGGGACAUGGGCAACCUUGACACAUCCCAGCUCCAGCUGCUAAUUGGGUUGUCAUUCUCAAGACAUAUUUUACACUUGGAGUCUGUAUCGCCACUUUCUUAUUUCUUUGGAAAUCAUGCUUUACCGUCCUGUCUUCUGACUUUUUGGGGGUUGGGAGCAAACUUAUGUCUUCUCUGCAUGGUCAAGGAACCAAAAUGGGUAGAGCACAUCCAGAAAGAAGUAGAACUAGUCAGGGCUGGUCUUUUGACAGGGCUUUUCUACUUAUGAAGAAGAGGAGGGAGCUUGUCAAGGUCACUUGAAAAAGCAUGUUUGGUUUGGCAGCCUUUGGAGGGUGAGCACCGCAAAGCUCUCUCACUCAACUCCACAGAACAACAAACACACUUGUUUGUCUUCUCUGACUUUUGCCUCCUUUCUGGGCCUGCUCUGAUGUCAGUGCUGUUUUUCCUGCUUUGCUUACAUAACCUUGUCUGUCUACUUUGAGAUUCUACUGCCUCAAAACUUUGGUUUGCUGGGCAUCUAAGAACAGUGCAACAUGGUGGAUUUUCAGCCUCGGUUCAAACCACUAACUCAUGCGCUCUGUCUGCAUGACUUAAUUCGCAUUUAGGAGACAGGAAAAAGCUCUCCCAGCUCAUCUUUUUUUGAAUACCCAUAAACUAAAGGAUUAGUGUGGCUCAGUUGUCCACCAUUAGCUUAAUGACCUAAAGCCAGGAGGAGAGGAGACAAGAAAAGGGAUUAUAGGUUGACAAUGUAGCUUUUCAAGUGCCGGGGGCUAAAGGUGGAAAAGGUCUCCUACAAAUGAUGCAGAGAAUGAAGUAACUGACAUCUCUCAUUUGGGGAACAAGAUGUGUCAUUGAAGGGGAUUUGAGAGUCACCUGAGAAGCUUAAAUACCAGCCAGCAUUAAGCACCAAGAGUCAAGAGUAGCUUGUCAGGGGAAAAUGGAACCCAUCAAAGACAGGAUUGAAGUAGGAGAAGGCAGUGGACAACAGAGUAAAUUACAGGGAAGAAACGGCAGUAGACUGGAAGUGGUCGCUGCCCCACUCCAGUGAUUCAUUCAGGACUCUGGCCUGCUGUGAAGUCUGUAUCCUGGCCACUACCAUGUCUGUCCCCCCUCUUUAAACGUGAAGCUGCUCGCCUUGGCCUGACCCCUCAGGCACCAGUAAACAGGAGAAAAGGCUCACUGCCAGAAGACAAUGGGUUGUGUCUUUUCCUCUCAGUAUGAAGGGAAUUUCAUUGUAUCGGCUCAGCCACUGACCACAAACAAACUUGGCAGGAGGCUUUGGCCACAGUGUCAGGCCCAGUUUUCAUAAAUCCCCCUGAUCCACCCGGAAGGGUUUGGGUGAACAGCCAAGCAAUCGUGCCUCUUCUACUCCUCCCGAAUGUGUGAGAUCUCCAUUUCUGGAUGGGCCAGCCGAUGUACCGACUCAGGCAGAUACAUGCCAGUGACAGGAGGCAUAGCAUGUGAAGCACCGUCAGCACACUACCUUCCGCUGUUAAAAUAUAUGCUCUCUGUAAAAUAACUUCAUAAAGUAUGAAAAAUGCAUACAGCCUGCAACUCGGCAAGCCCUGACAAAUGCAUUCAUCAUCACCUACUCCGUGUGAGGCAGAGCGGGGGACGCUAGGGACCAGAAGGCAGGGUUUCUGUCCCCACAGAGAAGUGCUCGGAGAUAAUCACUGCUGAACAGUUAAAUGUUAAACCGAAAUCUUCCCAGUCACUUUAUUUGCACACCCCUCACUUCCACCCACAUAUUGAACUUGGAGGACGGGAAGCAAACGAGCACAGCUUGCAGCUGCUCUGGGCGUAGCUUGUUUCCAAAUCACAGUCCUUCUCAGCGCAUGCGUCAGAACUUCCAGGUCAGGACACGUGCACUGGACACACAGUCAGUAUGCAGACCGUGCAGAAUACAAACAGCAAAUACUCAGCGGUGUGUACGGUGGUGAUUUCCCUCAAACCGUCGCAAAUUCGAUCCCAUUUGGAGUGUGGGCAGCACAUCCCGGAAGUACCCCAGGAAGAGGAGUCCUACAGGUUUACGUACCAAACUGAAUUCUCGGGACGUUGAAGGAAAGUUUACUGUCCACCCUGGAUGCAGCAGAUUGGAGACCUCGGAAUAGUCUCUGUGGGGUCCUGCAUUUUCCUGGUGCUGUACAAACUGUCUUUGUGCCUCCUCCUGAGGAAGGCGCCCUUCCCAGCA